rnacentral:tRNA from 1 species
GGGGGUUUAGCUCAGUUGGUAGAGCGUUCGCUUAGCAUUUUCAGAGGUGUCUAAUCUGCGAAAGGUCGCGUGUUCGACUCAUGCAGUCUCCA